rnacentral:rRNA from 1 species
GACGAACGUUGGCGGCGUGCUUAAUACAUGCAAGUCGACUGAAGCAGUGGUAGCAAUAUCGCUGUGGCGGUGGCGCACGGGGGAGUAACACGUAGGUAAUCUGCCUUCAGGUCUGCAUGAAUCCGGGAAAGCGGGGCUAAUUGCAAAUGAUUCAGCGGUUGGACAUCGAGGACGUUGUUUAAACGAUGGCGUCGGUGGAUGAGACUGCGGCUUAUUAGCCAGUUGGGGGGGUAGCGGAGCACCAAGGCUACGAACAGUAGGUUGUCUGAGAGGGCGGUCAGCCACACGGGAACGGAGACACGGUCCAGACUCCGACGGGAGGCAGCAGUAAGGAAAAUUGCCGAAUGGGAGAAAGCCUGAAGCAGCAACGCCGCGUGAGGGCCGAAGGGCUUUUGCUUGUAUUCCUCUGUAGGGAGAGAAAAAAAACCCAAUCUUUGCGACAUGAUGGUAUCUCAAAAGUAAGCCCCGGCUAACUACGUG